rnacentral:rRNA from 1 species
UGGCGGACGGGUGAGGAAUACAUCGGAAUCUGCCUUGUUGUGGGGGAUAACGUAGGGAAACUUACGCUAAUACCGCAUAAGACCUCGGGGUGAAAGCGGAGGACCUUCGGGCUUCGCGCGACAAGAUGAGCCGAUGUCGGAUUAGCUAGUUGGCGGGGUAAAGGCCCACCAAGGCGACGAUCCGUAGCUGGUCUGAGAGGACGACCAGCCACACUGGAACUGAGACACGGUCCAG